GACGAACGCUGGCGGCGUGCCUAAUACAUGCAAGUAGAACGCACAGUUUAUACCGUAGCUUGCUCCACCAUAGACUGUGAGUUGCGAACGGGUGAGUAACGCGUAGGUAACCUGCCUGGUAGCGGGGGAUAACUAUUGGAAACGAUAGCUAAUACCGCAUAAUAUUAAUUAUUGCAUGAUAAUUAAUUGAAAGGUGCAAUUGCACCACUACCAGAUGGACCUGCGUUGUAUUAGCUAGUAGGUGAGGUAACGGCUCACCUAGGCGACGAUACAUAGCCGACCUGAGAGGGUGAUCGGCCACACUGGGACUGAGACACGGCCCAGACUCCUACGGGAGGCAGCAGUAGGGAAUCUUCGGCAGUGGACGAAAGUCUGACCGAGCAACGCCGCGUGAGGGAAGAAGGUUUUCGGAUCGUAAAGCUCUGUUGUAAGAGAAGAACGGGUGUGAGAGUGGAAAGUUCACACUGUGACGGUAUCUUACCAGAAAGGGACGGCUAACUACGUG
rnacentral:rRNA from 1 species